AACUCGCGUUAAGGAUUGAAGUAAUUGUUUGAGCUCUUUUUUCUUUUUCAAGAAAAAAAGCGAGUGCGUAAAGCCUGACCUUUA
rnacentral:misc_RNA from 1 species